GAUGAAAGUGGGGGAUCGCAAGACCUCAUGCUCGUGGAGCGGCCGAUAUCUGAUUAGCUAGUUGGUAGGGUAAAAGCCUACCAAGGCAUCGAUCAGUAGCUGGUCUGAGAGGACGACCAGCCACACUGGAACUGAGACACGGUCCAGACUCCUACGGGAGGCAGCAGUGGGGAAUUUUGGACAAUGGGCGAAAGCCUGAUCCAGCAAUGCCGCGUGAGUGAAGAAGGCCUUCGGGUUGUAAAGCUCUUUUGUCAGGGAAAAACGGUGAAAGCUAAUAUCUUUUGCUAAUGACGGUACCUGAAGAAUAAGCACCGGCUAACUACGUGCCAGCAGCCGCGGUAAUACGUAGGGUGCAAGCGUUAAUCGGAAUUACUGGGCGUAAAGCGUGCGCAGGCGGUUUUGUAAGUCUGAUGUGAAAUCCCCGGGCUCAACCUGGGAAUUGCAUUGGAGACUGCAAGGCUAGAAUCUGGCAGAGGGGGGUAGAAUUCCACGUGUAGCAGUGAAAUGCGUAGAUAUGUGGAGGAACACCGAUGGCGAAGGCAGCCCCCUGGGUCAAGAUUGACGCUCAUGCACGAAAGCGUGGGGAGCAAACAGGAUUAGAUACCCUGGUAGUCCACGCCCUAAACGAUGUCUACUAGUUGUCGGGUCUUAAUUGACUUGGUAACGCAGCUAACGCGUGAAGUAGACCGCCUGGGGAGUACGGUCGCAAGAUUAAAACUCAAAGGAAUUGACGGGGACCCGCACAAGCGG
rnacentral:rRNA from 1 species